CAUGGAGGGUGAGAAUCCCGUUCAUGGUUAAUCUUAAGGAAGCUCUACGAUACGUUUUCCAAGAGUCGAGUUGUUUGGGAUUGCAGCUCAAAAUGGGAGGUAAAUUUCUCCUAAGGCUAAAUAUUGGCGAGAGACCGAUAGCGAACAAGUACCGUGAGGGAAAGAUGAAAAGAACUUUGAAAAGAGAGUUAAACAGUACGUGAAAUUGUUGAAAGGGAAACGAUUGAAGUCAGUCAUACCAACGGGAAAUCAACCUUUUGAGCUCGGUCUCGUGGGUUUUGAAGAGUUUCAAAGCCUUCGGAUUCGCGAGUUUGGGAUCUCUUGGUGUACUUUUUCGUACGGUUAGUCAACAUCGGUUUUGAAUGUCAUAAAAUGACUGGAGGAAUGUAGCUUUGAUCUCGUAUUGAAGUGUUAUAGCCUUUGGUAGAUGUGAUGUUUGAGACCGAGGAUUGCAACGGAUACCCUUCAGGGCUAUUCGUCUGAUCUCUGAUACGUUGCCUUGAUGUUGAAAGCUUGCUUAUGAUGUUAGGGUAUUACGGUCAAAAGGUUAGAACGAAUUACAUUCGUUAAGGAUGUUGACGUAAUGG
rnacentral:rRNA from 1 species